UGCCCAUUUGAGGGGGAUACCAGUUGGAAACGACUGUUAAUACCGCAUAAUAUCUGUGGAUUAAAGGUGGCCUUUGUGCUGCCGCAGAUGGAUGAGCCUGCGUUAGAUUAGCUUGUUGGUGGGGUAAGAGCCUACCAAGGCCGCGAUCUAUAGCUGAUUUGAGAGGAUGAUCAGCCACAUUGGAACUGAGACACGGUCCAAACUCCUACGGGAGGCAGCAGUGGGGAAUAUUGGACAAUGGGCGAAAGCCUGAUCCAGCAAUACCAUGUGUGUGAAGAAGGCUCUAGGGUUGUAAAGCACUUUAGUUGGGGAGGAAAGCUUGUGAGUUAAUAGCUCAUAGGAAGGACGUUACCCAAAGAAUAAGGACCGGCUAACUCCGUGCCAGCAGCCGCGGUAAUACGGGGGGUCCGAGCGUUAAUCGGAAUUACUGGGCGUAAAGGGUCUGUAGGUGGUUUGUUAAGUCAGAUGUGAAAGCCCAGGGCUCAACCUUGGAACUGCAUUUGAUACUGGCAAACUAGAGUAUAGUAGAGGAAUGGGGAAUUUCUGGUGUAGCGGUGAAAUGCGUAGAGAUCAGAAGGAACACCAAUGGCGAAGGCAACAUUCUGGACUAAUACUGACACUGAGGGACGAAAGCGUGGGGAUCAAACAGGAUUAGAUACCCUGGUAGUCCACGCUGUAAACGAUGAGUACUAGCUGUUGGAUUCGGUGUAAAGGAUCUAGUGGCGUAGCUAACGCGUUAAGUACUCCGCCUGGGGACUACGGCCGCAAGGCUAAAACUCAAAGGAAUUGACGGGGACCCGCACAAGCGGUGGAGCAUGUGGUUUAAUUCGAUGCAACGCGAAGAACCUUACCUGGUCUUGACAUCCUGCGAACUUUCUAGAGAUAGAUUGGUGCCUUCGGGAACGCAGUGACAGGUGCUGCACGGCUGUCGUCAGCUCGUGUUGUGAAAUGUUGGGUUAAGUCCCGCAACGAGCGCAACCCCUAUUGAUAGUUACCAUCAUUAAGUUGGGUACUCUAUUGAGACUGCCGCUGACAAGGCGGAGGAAGGUGGGGACGACGUCAAGUCAUCAUGGCCCUUACGACCAGGGCUACACACGUGCUACAAUGGGUAUUACAGAGGGCUGCGAAAUAGCGAUAUGGAGCGAAACUCAAAAAGGUACUCUUAGUC
rnacentral:rRNA from 1 species